AGUGAACGCUGGCGGCGUGCUUAACACAUGCAAGUCGAACGAGAACGGGUUAUAGCUUGCUAUAAUUGUCAGCUAAGUGGCGCACGGGUGAGUAAUGUAUAGGUAAUAUGCCUCUUACUAAGGGAUAACAAAUGGAAACGUUUGCUAAUACCUUAUACUCCUUAUUAACAUAAGUUAAUAAGGGAAAGAGUAAUUGGGAAGAGAUUAGCCUGUAUUGUAUCAGUUAGUUGGUGGGGUAAUGGCUUACCAAGACUAUGACACAUAACUGGUUUGAGAGGAUGAUCAGUCACACUGGAACUGAGACACGGUCCAGACUCCUACGGGAGGCAGGAGUGGGGAAUAUUGCACAAUGGACGAAAGUCUGAUGCAGCAACGCCGCGUGGAGGAUGACACAUUUCGGUGCGUAAACUCCUUUUAUAUGAGAAGAUAAUGACGGUAUUAUAUGAAUAAGCACCGGCUAACUCCGUGCCAGCCGCCGCGGUAA
rnacentral:rRNA from 1 species